rnacentral:sRNA from 1 species
UGACUUGAUGUCAUGUAUAUGAUUGAGUAUAACAACAUAAACCGCAACCCAAUCUUAAAAGCCUAUGUAGUGUUUCCUUGUUAGAAGACACAAAGCCAAAGACUCAUAUGGAAUUUGGCUAGACCAUGAAAGCUUUGAGAAGCAAGAAGAAGGUUGGUUAGUGUUUUGGAGUUGAAUAUGACUUGAUGUCAUGUGUAUUAUUGAGUAUAAGAACUUAAACAGAAACAUAAUCUUAUAAGCCUAAAUAGUGUUUCCUUGUUAGAAGAUACAAAGCCAAAGACUCAUACGGACUUUGGCUACAGCAUGAAAGCUUUGAGAAGCUAGAAGAAGGUUGGUUAGUGUUUCGGAGUCGAAUAUGACUUGAUGUGAUGUGUAUGAUAAAGUAUAAGAACUUAAACCGCAACCGGAUCUUAAAGGCGUAAGAAUUGUAUCCUUGUUAGAAGGCACAAAUCCAAAGACUCAUAUGGACUUUGGCUACACCAUGAAAGCUUUGAGAAGCAAGAAGAAGGUUGGUUAGUGUUUUCGAGUCGAAUAUGACUUGGUGUCAUGUGUAUGAUUGAGUAUAACAACUUAAACCGUAACUCGAUCUUAAAAGCCUAAGUAGUGUAUCCUUGUUAGAAUACACAAAGCCAAAGACUCAUAUGGACUUUGGCUACACCAUGAAAGGUUUGAUAAGCAAGAAGUAGGUUGGUUAGUGUUUUGGAGUCGAAUAUGACUUGUUGCCAUGUGUAUGAUUGAGUAUAACAACUUAAAGCACAACCCAAUCUUAAAAGCCUAGGUAGUGUUUCCUUAUUAGAAGAAACAAAGCCAAAGACUCAUAUGGAGUUUGGCUACACCAUGAAAGCUUUGAAAAGUAAGAAGAAGGUUGGUUAGUGUUUUGGAGUCGAAUAUGACUUGAUGUCAUGUGUAUGAUUGAGUAUAACAACAUAAACCGCAACCCAAUCUUAAAAGCCUAAGUAGUGUUUCCUUGUUAGAAGACACAAAGCCAAAGACUCAUAUGGAAUUUGGCUAGACCAUGAAAGCUUUGGGAAGCAAGAUGAAGGUUGGUUAGUGUUUUGGAGUCGAAUAUGACUUGAUGUUAUGCGUAUGAUUGAGUAUAAGACUUAAACCGCAACCGGAUCUUAAAGGCGUAAGAAUUGUAUCGUUGUUAGAAGACACAAAGGCAAAGACUCAUAUGGACUUUGGCUACACCAUGAAAGCUUUGAGAAGCAAGAAGAAGGUUGGUUAGUGUUUUGGAGUUGAAUAUGACUUGAUGUCAUGUGUAUUAUUGAGUAUAAGAACUUAAACAACAACAUAAUCUUAUAAGCCUAAGUAGUGUUUCCUUGUUAGAAGAUACAAAGCCAAAGACUCAUACGGACUUUUGCUACACCAUGAAAGCUUUGAGAAGCUAGAAGAAGGUUUGUUAGUGUUUCGGAGUCGAAUAUGACUUGAUGUGAUGUGUAUGAUUGAGUAUAAGAACUUAAACCGCAACCGGAUCUUAAAGGCGUAAGAAUUGUAUCCUUGUUAGAAGGCACAAAUCCAAAGACUCAUAUGGACUUUGGCUACACCAUGAAAGCUUUGAGAAGCAAGAAGAAGGUUGGUUAGUGUUUUCAAGUCGAAUAUGACUUGGUGUCAUGUGUAUGAUUGAGUAGAACAACUUAAACCGCAACUCGAUCUUAAAAGCCUAAGUAGUGUAUCCUUGUUAGAAUACACAAAGCCAAAGACUCAUAUGGACUUUGGCUACACCAUGAAAGCUUUGAUAAGCAAAAAGAAGGUUGGUUAGUGUUUUGGAGUCGAAUAUGACUUGUUGCCAUGUGUAUGAUUGAGUAUAACAACUUAAACCACAACCCGAUCUUAAAAGCCUAAGUAGUGUUUCCUUACU